rnacentral:rRNA from 1 species
CGGUGUUCAACUGGCGUGCCCGCGGGACGUCCUGCCGGUGAGCUCAGCCCGCGAGGGCGGCUCAACUUGAAAUCCCAUCGCGGUGCUCUUCAUUGAGUGUCGAGGUGGGCCGACACGAUUACUUUUGAACAAAUUAGAGUGCUUAAAGCAGGCUAAAAUUUUGCCUGAAUACUGUGUAUAUGGAAUAAUGGAAUAGGACCUCGGUUCUAUUUUGUUGGUUUUCGGAACCCCGAGGUAAUGAUUAAUAGGAACGGAUGGGGGCAUUCGUAUUGCGACGUUAGAGGUGAAAUUCUUGGAUCGUCGCAAGAUGGACUAAAGCGAAAGCAUUUGCCAAAAACGCUUUCAUUGAUCAAGAACGAAAGUUAGAGGUUCGAAGGCGAUCAGAUACCGCCCUAGUUCUAACCAUAAACUAUGCCAGCUAGCGAUCCGCCGACGUCCCUCUGAUGACUCGGCGGGGCAGCUUCCGGGAAACCAAGGCUUUUGGGUUCCGGGGGAAGUAUGGUUGCAAAGCUGAAACUUAAAGGAAUUGACGGAAGGGCACCACCAGGAGUGGAGCCUGCGGCUUAAUUUGACUCAACACGGGAAACCUCACCAGGCCCAGACACUGGAAGGAUUGACAGAUUGAGAGCUCUUUCUUGAUUCAGUGGGUGGUGGUGCAUGGCCGUUCUUAGUCGGUGGAGCGAUUUGUCAGGUUAAUUCCGAUAACGGACGAGACUCUGACCUGAUAACUAGACGCACUUGCGGCAUCUCAAAGGUCCGCCGGCGGCUGGCUUUGCGCCCGUCGUCGCGCGCGAUUUUUACUGCCGGCGUACAAUAAAUUCUUCUUAGAGGGACAAGUGG